UACGUAGGGGGCGAGCGUUGUCCGGAAUGACUGGGCGUAAAGGGUGCGUAGGCGGCCUGACACGUCUGGGGUGAAAGGCCACGGCUCAACCGUGGGGGUGCCCUGGAAACGGUGAGGCUUGAGUGCUGGAGAGGCAAGGGGAAUUCCACGUGUAGCGGUGAAAUGCGUAGAGAUGUGGAGGAAUACCCGUGGCGAAGGCGCCUUGCUGGACAGUGACUGACGCUGAGGCACGAAAGCGUGGGGAGCGAACAGGAUUAGAUACCCUGGUAGUCCACGCUGUAAACGAUGAGUGCUAGGUGUUGGGGGUGCGAGCCCUCAGUGCCGAAGGAAACCCAAUAAGCACUCCGCCUGGGGAGUACGGUCGCAAGACUGAA
rnacentral:rRNA from 1 species